rnacentral:rRNA from 1 species
UUAAAUUAGUAAGAGCGUACGGUGGAUGUCUUGGCAUAUAGAGCAGAAGAAGGACGCAGAUAACGGCGAAACGCCUCGGGGAGUCGUACACAGGCAACGAUCCGGGGGUAUCCGAAUGGGGAAACCCGAUAAAGUUGAAAAGCUUUAUCAUCCUUAAGCCAAUACAUAACUUAAGAGAAGGCAACCCAGGGAAUUGAAACAUCUUAGUACCUGGAGGAGAAGAAAAUAACAAUGAUUCCGAGAGUAGUGGCGAGCGAAAUCGGAGCAGCCCAAACCAGCAAAGAGCUGGGGUAGUAGGACCACAGAAAGUGAUUGAAAAGAGAUAGUCGAAUGGCAUUGAAAGGUCAGCCGCAGAAGGUGCAAGCCCUGUAGGCGAAAUCUCGAUUCACGCGAGUGGUAUCCUGAGUACGUCGGAGCACGUGAAACUCUGACGGAAUCAACCGGGACCAUCCGGUAAGGCUAAAUACUCCUAUAUGACCGAUAGUGAACCAGUACCAUGAGGGAAAGAUGAAAAGAACCGCGGGAGCGGAGUGAAAUAGAUCCUGAAACCGUAUGCUUACAAAAAGUCAGAGCACAUUAAGGUGUGAUGGCGUGCCUUUUGUAGAAUGAACCGGCGAGUUAUCUUUGCAUGCGAGGUUAAGCAGACAAUGCGGAGCCGUAGCGAAAGCGAAUCUUAAUAGGGUGGCAAGUAUGUAGAGAUAGACCCGAAGCCGUAGUGAUCUAGUCAUGAGCAGGUUGAAGGCUGGGUGAAUCCAGCUGGAGGACCGAACCGACCCCCGUUGAAAAGUUGGCGGAUGACUUGUGAUUAGCGGAGAAAUUCCAAUCGAACACGGCGAUAGCUGGUUCUCCCCGAAAUAGCUUUAGGGCUAGCGUUGAACGAAUCUACCCGGAGGUAGAGCACUGAAAUCAUGCGGGCGGCAUCUCGCCGUACCAAAUGAUAUCAAACUCCGAAUGCCGGGCAAGAAUAUUCAGCAGUCAGACUGUGGGUGAUAAGGUCCAUGGUCAAAAGGGAAACAGCCCAGAUCAUCAGAUAAGGUCCCAAAAUUUACGCUAAGUGGAAAAGGAUGUGGAGACGCGCAAACAGCUAGGAGGUUGGCUCAGAAGCAGCCAUCCUUCAAAGAGUGCGUAACAGCUCACUAGUCGAGUAUCUCUGCGCCGAAAAUUAACCGGGGCUAAGCGUAAUACCGAAUCUAUGGAUUUAUACUUAGGUAUAAGUGGUAGGGGAGCGUUCCAUACAGCAUUGAAGGUAUACCGUAAGGAGUGCUGGAGCGUAUGGAAGUGAGAAUGCCGGUGUGAGUAGCGAGAUGUGGGUGAGAAUCCCACACACCGAAAAACCAAGGUUUCCAGGGGAAGGUUCGUCCGCCCUGGGUAAGUCGGGACCUAAGGCCAGGCCGAAAGGCGUAGUCGAUGGACAGCAGGUUGAUAUUCCUGCACCCGCGAGUAAAGUGAUGGAGUGACAGAUAGGGUUAACCCAAGUCCUAAAUGGAUUGGGCAAGGCAAGCAGGAGAGUGGCGUAGGCAAAUCCGCGCCGGAUACUCAAAGGCUUGACUCAAGCGAACGCGCGAGCAAGUAGUGAAGAGGGUGAUACCAGGUCUCAAGAAAAGCUUCUAGCGAUAAUUUACUAGCGGCCCGUACCAAAACCGACACAGGUGGUUGAGGCGAGUAGCCUAAGGUGAGCGAGAGAACUGUUGCCAAGGAACUCGGCAAAUUGACCCCGUACGUUAGCAAUAAGGGGUGCUCGAAAGAGCCGCAGUGAAUAGGCCCUAGCAACUGUUUAACUAAAACAUAGCUCUCUGCGAAGUCGCAAGACGAAGUAUAGGGGGUGACACCUGCCCGGUGCUGGAAGGUCAAGGGGAUUUGUCAGACGCAAGUCGAAGCAUUGAACCGAAGCCCCAGUGAACGGCGGCCGUAACUAUAACGGUCCUAAGGUAGCGAAAUUCCUUGUCGGGUAAG